UACAGAGGUCUCAAGCGUUGUUCGGAUUCAUUGGGCGUAAAGGGUGCGUAGGUGGCGCUGUAAGUCGGGUGUGAAAUUUCGGAGCUUAACUCCGAAACUGCAUUCGAUACUGCGGUGCUUGAGGACUGGAGAGGAGACUGGAAUUCAUGGUGUAGCAGUGAAAUGCGCAGAUAUCAGGAAGAACACCCGUGGCGAAGGCGGCUCUCUGGAACGCAACUGACGCUGAGACGCGAAAGCGUGGGGAGCAAACAGG
rnacentral:rRNA from 1 species